AUCUAGUUAGUAUAAUAAGUACUACAAGUUUCCAACUUGAAAGUUCGCCAGAAUUAGAUA
rnacentral:tRNA from 1 species